rnacentral:rRNA from 1 species
UCGAUGAAGAACGCAGCGAAAUGCGAUAAGUAAUGUGAAUUGCAGAAUUCAGUGAAUCAUCGAAUCUUUGAACGCACAUUGCGCCCGCCAGCAUUCUGGCGGGCAUGCCUGUUCGAGCGUCAUUUCAACCCUCAAGCUCUGCUUGGUGUUGGGGCCCUACGGUUGACGUAGGCCCUCAAAGGUAGUGGCGGACCCUCCCGGAGCCUCCUUUGCGUAGUAACUAACGUCUCGCAUCGGGAUCCGGAGGGACUCUUGCCGUAAAACCCCCCAAUUUUUCAAUGGUUGACCUCGGAUCAGGUAGGAAUACCCGCUGAACUUAAGCAUAUCAAUAAGCGGAGGAA